rnacentral:rRNA from 1 species
CGCGUAGGCGGUUUGAUAAGUCAGAUGUGAAAGCCCACGGCUUAACUGUGGAAGUGCAUUUGAUACUGUUAGACUUGAGUACCAGAGGGGAAAGUGGAAUUCCCGGUGUAGAGGUGAAAUUCGUAGAUAUCGGGAGGAAUACCGGUGGCGAAGGCGACUUUCUGGCUGGAUACUGACGCUGAGGCGCGAAAGCGUGGGGAGCAAACA